UGCUGCACCUUCUGGGUGAGCGGCGAACGGGUGAGUAACACGUGGAUAAUCUGCCUUUGAGCUGGGGAUAACAUUUGGAAACAAAUGCUAAUACCGAAUAAAACUUUUUAUCGCAUGAUUAAAUUUGAAGAUGCAUUUGGCUUCCUCUAAAAAGGGCCCCCCGGGGCUUUACUUAUUGGGGGGGGUAAGGGUCUACCAAGACAUGGAUGCUUACCCAACUUGAAAGACUGAUCGGCCACUUUGGGACUGAAACACGGCCCAACUCCCUACGGAAGGCUGCAUAAGGAAAUCUUCCCAAUGGGCAAAAUCCUGAUGGACCACCCCCCCUGGUGGAAUAAAGGUUUUAGAUCCUAAAACUCUUGUUGUAUGGAAAAAAAUGCUAGAAUAUGGAAAGAUUCUAAUUCGACGGUACCUUCCCAGAAAGGGACGGCUAAAUACGUGCCAGCAGCCGCGGUAAUACGUAUGUCCCGAGCGUUAUCCGGAUUUAUUGGGCGUAAAGCGAGCGCAGACGGUUGAUUAAGUCUGAUGUGAAAGGCCGGAGCUCAACUCCUGAAUGGCAUUGAAAACUGGUUAACUUGAUGGUUGAAAAGAUAAUGGAAAUUCCUGGUG
rnacentral:rRNA from 1 species